UGUGUACUCCCUCCGUUUAACAAAAGAUGUCUCAAGUUUGUCAAAAUUUGAAUGUAUCUAGACAUGACUUAGUGUAUAGAUGCAUUCAAAUUUUGUCAAACUUGAGACAUCUUUUGUUCGACGGAAGAGUACAAA
rfam:Brachypodium distachyon strain Bd21 chromosome 2, whole genome shotgun sequence.